GACGAACGCUGGCGGCGUGCCUAAUACAUGCAAGUCGAGCGAAGUUUUUCUGGUGCUUGCCCUAGAAAAACUUAGCGGCGACCGGGUGAGUAACACGUAAAGAACCUCCCUCAUAGACUGGGACAACUAUUGGAAACGAUAGCUAAUACCGGAUAACAGUAUUUCUCGCAUGGGAGAUAUUUAAAAGUUGUUUAUGCUAACACUAUGAGAUGGCUUUGCGGUGCAUUAGCUAGUUGGUGGGGUAAAGGCCCACCAAGGCGACGAUGCAUAGCCGACCUGAGAGGGGGAUCGGCCACACUGGGACUGAGACACGGCCCAGACUCCUACGGGAGGCAGCAGUAGGGAAUCUUCCGCAAUGGGCGCAAGCCUGACGGAGCAACGCCGCGUGAGUGAAGAAGGAUUUCGGUUCGUAAAGCUCUGUUGUUAGGGAAGAAUGGAUAUGUAGUAACUAUACAUGUAAGAGACGGUACCUAACCAGAAAGCCACGGCUAACUACGUG
rnacentral:rRNA from 1 species